AUUGAACGCUGGCGGUAUGCUUAACACAUGCAAGUCGAACGGCAGCAUGGUCUAGCUUGCUAGACUGAUGGCGAGUGGCGGACGGGUGAGUAACGCGUAGGAAUAUGCCUUGAAGAGUGGGACAACUUGGGGAAACUCAAGCUAAUACCGCAUGUACUCGAGAGAGUAAAGCUGGGGACCUUUAGGCCUGGCGCUUUAAGAUUAGCCUGCGUCCGAUUAGCUAGUUGGUAGGGUAAAGGCCUACCAAGGCGACGAUCGGUAGCUGGUCUGAGAGGAUGAUCAGCCACACUGGAACUGAGAGACGGUCCAGACUCCUACGGGAGGCAGCAGGGGGGAAUAUUGGACAAUGGGGGGAACCCUGAUCCAGCAAUGCCGCGUGUGUGAAGAAGGCCUGAGGGUUGUAAAGCACUUUCAGUGGGGAGGAGGUUUGGAAGGUUAAGAGCUAUUCAAAUGGACGUUACCCACAGAAGAAGCACCGGCUAACUCCGUGCCAGCAGCCGCGGUAA
rnacentral:rRNA from 1 species